rnacentral:rRNA from 1 species
AGAGUUUGAUCAUGGCUCAGAACGUACGCUGGCGGCACGCCUAACACAUGCAAGUCGAACGAAGUAGUAAUACUUAGUGGCAGACGGGUGAGUAACAUGUGGGUAUCUGCCCUUUGGCCUGGAAUAACACGAGGAAACUUGUGCUAAUACUGGAUAAGUCUUUACGGAGAAAGCUUUAUGCACCAUUGGAUGAGCCCGCACUUGAUUAGUUUGUUGGUGGGGUAAUGGCCUACCAAGACUUUGAUCAAUAGCUGAUUUGAGAGGAUGAUCAGCCACAUUGGGACUGAGACACGGCCCAAACUCCUACGGGAGGCAGCAGUGGGGAAUCUUGCACAAUGGAGGAAACUCUGAUGCAGCGAUGCCGCGUGAGUGAAGAAGGCCCUUGGGUUGUAAAGCUCUUUCGUCGGGGAAGAAAAUGACUGUACCCGAAUAAGAAGGUCCGGCUAACUUCGUGCCAGCAGCCGCGGUAAUACGAAGGGACCUAGCGUAGUUCGGAAUUACUGGGCUUAAAGAGUUCGUAGGUGGUUGAAAAAGUUGGUGGUGAAAUCCCAGAGCUUAACUCUGGAACUGCCAUCAAAACUUUUCAGCUAGAGUUUGAUAGAGGAAAGCAGAAUUUCUAGUGUAGAGGUGAAAUUCGUAGAUAUUAGAAAGAAUACCAAUUGCGAAGGCAGCUUUCUGGAUCAUUACUGACGCUGAGGAACGAAAGCAUGGGUAGCGAAGAGGAUUAGAUACCCUCGUAGUCCAUGCCGUAAACGAUGUGUGUUAGACGUUGGAAAUUUAUUUUCAGUGUCGCAGCGAAAGCGAUAAACACACCGCCUGGGGAGUACGACCGCAAGGUUAAAACUCAAAUGAAUUGACGGGGACCCGCACAAGUAGUGGAGCAUGUGGUUUAAUUCGAAGAUACGCGCAGAACCUUACCAACACUUGACAUGUUCGUCGCGACUUUAAGAGAUUAAAGUUUUCGGUUCGGCCGGACGAAACACAGGUGCUGCAUGGCUGUCGUCAGCUCGUGUCGUGAGAUGUUGGGUUAAGUCCCGCAACGAGCGCAACCCUCACUUUUAGUUGCCAUCAUUAAGUUGGGCACUCUGAAAGAACUGCCAGUGAUAAGCUGGAGGAAGGUGGGGAUGACGUCAAGUCCUCAUGGCCCUUACGUGUUGGGCUACACACGUGCUACAAUGGUAUCUACAACAGGAAGCGAAACAGCGAUGUUAAGCAAAUCCUUAAAAGAUACCUCAGUUCGGAUUGCACUCUGCAACUCGAGUGCAUGAAGCUGGAAUUACUAGUAAUCGUGGAUCAGCGUGCCACGGUGAAUGCGUUCCCGGGUCUUGUACACACCGCCCGUCACACCAUGGGAGUUGGUUCUACCUUAAGGCAAGGUUUAAUACCCUUGACCACGGUAUAGUCAGCGACUGGGGUGAAGUCGUAACAAGGUAACCGUA